UACGGAGGGUGCAAGCGUUAUCCGGAUUCACUGGGUUUAAAGGGUGCGUAGGUGGGAAUGUAAGUCAGUGGUGAAAUCUCCGUGCUUAACAUGGAAACUGCCAUUGAUACUAUGUUUCUUGAAUCUUCUGGAGGUUAGCGGAAUAUGUCAUGUAGCGGUGAAAUGCUUAGAUAUGACAUAGAACACCAAUUGCGAAGGCAGCUAGCUACAGGGGUAUUGACGCUGAGGCACGAAAGCGUGGGGAUCAAACAGG
rnacentral:rRNA from 1 species